CAAAGGUUUGGUCCUGGACUUACUGGUAAGUUUUAUUAUACCUACACAUGCUAGUUUCCGCAGCCCAGUGAGUAUGCCCUUUUAACUUUCACAGAGUCUAAAGGAGCAGGUAUCAGGCACACUUAAAAAGUAGCCCAUAACACCUUGUUUAACCACACCCCCACGGGUUACAGCAGUGACUAACAUUGAGCUAUAAACGAAAGUUUGACUAAAUCAUAAUAAAUAAGGGUUGGUAAAUCUCGUGCCAGCCACCGCGGUCAUACGAUUAACCCAAGUUAACAGAACAACGGCGUAAAGGGUGUUUAAGCAUUCAUCAUACCAAAUAAAGUUAAAGCUCAACUACGCUGUAAUACGCCAUAGUUGACAUUAAAAUACGCAACUUACGUGACUUUACCAAUGCUGAAGACACUAAAGCUAAGGUACAAACUGGGAUUAGAGACCCCACUAUGCUUAGCCGUAAACCAAGGUAAUUAAAUAACAAAAUUACUCGCCAGAGAACUACUAGCCACUGCUUAAAACUCAAAGGACUUGGCGGUGCCCUAGACCCUCCUAGAGGAGCCU
rnacentral:rRNA from 1 species